rnacentral:ncRNA from 1 species
CCUCCAUUCAGUGGUGAUUUGGCCGGUCGCUUGCAGCCACUUAAAACAAAUAGCUAAAGACCGUUUGGAACCGGCC